rnacentral:rRNA from 1 species
GACGUAGGUGGCAAGCGUUGUCCGGAUUUACUGGGCGUAAAGGAUGCGUAGGCGGACAUUUAAGUCAGAUGUGAAAUACCCGAGCUUAACUUGGGUGCUGCAUUUGAAACUGGGUGUCUAGAGUGCAGGAGAGGUAAGUGGAAUUCCUAGUGUAGCGGUGAAAUGCGUAGAGAUUAGGAAGAACACCAGUGGCGAAGGCGACUUACUGGACUGUAACUGACACUGAGGCACGAAAGCGUGGGGAGCAAUCAGG